rnacentral:misc_RNA from 1 species
GAUGAAGAACGCAGCGAAAUGCGAUAAGUAGUGUGAAUUGCAGAAUUCAGUGAAUCAUCGAAUCUUUGAACGCACAUUGCGCCCUCUGGUAUUCCGGGGGGCAUGCCUGUUCGAGCGUCAUUAUAACCACUCAAGCUCUCGCUUGGUAUUGGGGUUCGCGGUUUCGCGGCCCCUAAAAUCAGUGGCGGUGCCUGUCGGCUCUACGCGUAGUAAUACUUCUCGCGAUUGAGUUCGAUAGGUCUACUUGCCAGUAACCCCCAAUUUUUACAGGUUGACCUCGGAUCAGGUAGGGAUACCCGCUGAACUUAAGCAUAUCAAUAAGCGGAGGA